rnacentral:rRNA from 1 species
UACGAAGGGGGGCUAGCGUUGCUCGGAAUCACUGGGCGUAAAGGGUGCGUAGGCGGGUCUUUAAGUCAGGGGUGAAAUCCUGGAGCUCAACUCCAGAACUGCCUUUUGAUACUGAGGAUCUUUGAGUUCGGGGAGAGGUGAGUGGAAACUGCGAGUGUAGAGGUGAAAAUUCGUAGAUAUUUCGCAAAGAACACCAGUGGGCGAAAGGGCGGCUCACUG